CGUUCACACCUGUAGCGCAUUACAGGAGGUCUCCAGUCCAACCAGUCCCCCAGUAAGGAUGGCAACAGCACAACAUCUGCGGGCAGCCAAAUUCUAUCCUUGGCUGUCCUUCUGCUGAGAGUUUCUCCACAUACAAACUCCCUGUAGGAAGAGGUUCAGUCAGAGGUCAAACAGAAACACAAUUCAACUUGAAAGCACAAAAGUUCAUAAGCAACCAGACUCUGGCAGUUCUCCUGCUCACAAACCUACUUGAUUUAUUUGGUAGAAAAUAAAGGAUAAACCAAACAGCAAGCAUAGGCCAAGUGUUCAAAUACUGCAGCCUGGUGAAGCUCAGAGAGAAGAGGCAAAAGCAGAAGUCCACAGUCCUUUUUGCCAACAGCUAUGACACAUGUGGGCACAAUGGGAGUUCAGCCUAUCUUGCAAAGGACCAGAGUUUUGGAAUCAAGGCAUCACAGCAAGGCAGAAGAAAUAAGGGAGGCCCGGAGACACGCUAACUCAUCCCCAGAGCACUGCCAGCCUCUCAGAAGCCAGGCUCUGCAUCACCAGAAGGCCUCCUGCCCUGACUGGACGUCACACUCCUCCUGAUGCAGCCUUCCACCUUUUGCCCAAAGGCUCAAUGAGCCACCAUGGAGGCUCAACCCUCAGCCCGUGCCUUAUGUGACCUGCGUUGUGCCCCGGGGGUGCCUGUGGGGACAUGGUCCAGAUUGAUGCAGCAGCAGGGAAGGCGCAGGCCUCUCAGCCUCCAUCCUAAUGCCCAACGUCCCUACCUGCUCUUAGGCCAAACUUCUCUUAACACAAUGGCAGAACGUGGCCCAGCAUUCAGCACUCGAGAAAUUUUAAAAAUAGCAGUGCCUCAAUUAAAUUGAGGGUAUGAAUCCAGCAGUGGCCAUACCUUCACAGGGGCAAGCAUUUAUCCCUCAUUUCAUCACCCACAGUCAGUUUGUAUUUGGCCAGGACCAAGACACAAAAUGUAUUUGCGUGCUCAAUCAUUUAAAGCAAGCAAAAAUCAGUUACAAGAACAACAACAAAAGUAUGCAUUUUGGUCAACAUAUGGCUGUGUAAACAGCAUCUGGCUCCCAGAUAACACUUAUGGGCAAUUAAGUUGAAGCACGGCUGUGGUCCUGCAGUAAUCUCACAUGCAGUUACAUACAUAAGAUUUGGAGAAGCAGGGCUCCAGUUCCUGUCAAAAGAAAAAAGUUUUCCAGGGUACUGUGUUAAACACAUUUUCAGCUCAUCCUUUAGUAAGUCUCCGGGUUUAAAUCCCAUUCUCAGCUGCUUACACUCUUAAGUCUUUGCAUUCAAGCUGCAGAACGUGUAUUUUCACAUUACUUUUGCUUUGAAACUGGGACCGUG
rnacentral:lncRNA from 1 species